rnacentral:tRNA from 1 species
GGGAGCGAGUGUCGUCUGGUGACGGCCGGGGACUUCAAAUCCCUCUGUCGGGCGCGUCAUACCGUCCGAGGUGGGUUCGAUUCCCACACGUUCCCGCCA